UACGAAGGGGGCUAGCGUUGUUCGGAAUUACUGGGCGUAAAGCGCACGCAGGCGGUCCGUUAAAUUAGAAGUGAAAGCCCUGGGCUCAACCCGGGAAUUGCUUUUAAGACUGGCGGACUAGAAUCCGGAAGAGGGUAGCGGAAUUCCCAGUGUAGAGGUGAAAUUCGUAGAUAUUGGGAAGAACACCGGUGGCGAAGGCGGCUACCUGGUCCGGAAUUGACGCUCAUGUGCGAAAGCGUGGGGAGCAAACAGG
rnacentral:rRNA from 1 species